rnacentral:rRNA from 1 species
UGGGGAAUAUUGGACAAUGGGCGAAAGCCUGAUCCAGCCAUGCCGCGUGUGUGACGAAGGUCUUCGGAUUGUAAAGCAUUUUAAGUUGGGAGGAAGGGCAGUAAGCGAAUACCUUGCUGUUUUGACGUUACCGACAGAAUAAGCACCGGCUAACUCUGUGCCAGCAGCCGCGGUAAUACAGAGGGUGCAAGCGUUAAUCGGAUUUACUGGGCGUAAAGCGUGCGUAGGCGGCUAAUUGAGUCGGAUGUGAAAUCCCCGAGCUUAACUUGGGAAUUGCAUUCGAGACUGGUUAGCUAGAGUGUGGGAGAGGAUGGUAGAAUUCCAGGUGUAGCGGUAAAAUGCGUAGAGAUCUGGAGGAAUACCGAUGGCGAAGGCAGCCAUCUGGCCUAACACUGACGCUGAGGUACGAAAGCAUGGGGAGCAAACAGG